AACGAACGCUGGCGGCAUGCCUAACACAUGCGAGUCGAACGGGACCUCCGGGUCUGGUGGCGCACGGGUGCGUAACGUGGGGGAACCGGCCCUUAGGUUCGGAAUAACUCCCUGAAGGGGGUGCUAAUACCGGAUAAUGUCUUCUGACAAAAGAUUUAUCGCCUUGGGAUGGGCCCGCGUUGGUUUGGCUGGUUGGUAGGGUAAAAGCCUACGAAGGCGACAAUCCGUAGCGGGUUUGAGAGGCUGAUCCGCGACACUGGGACGGAGACACGGCCCAGACUCCUACGGGAGGCAGCAGUGGCGAAUCUUGGAAUAUCGGCGAAAGCCUGAUCCAGCAAUGCCGCGUAAGUGAUGAAGGCCUUAGGGUUGUAAAGCUCUUUUACCCGGGAUGAUAAUGACAGUACCGGGAGAAUAAGCUCCGGCUAACUCCGUG
rnacentral:rRNA from 1 species